rnacentral:rRNA from 1 species
UACGGAGGGAGCUAGCGUUGUUCGGAAUUACUGGGCGUAAAGCGCACGUAGGCGGCUUUGUAAGUUAGAGGUGAAAGCCCGGGGCUCAACCCCGGAAUUGCCUUUAAGACUGCAUCGCUUGAAUCCGGGAGAGGUGAGUGGAAUUCCGAGUGUAGAGGUGAAAUUCGUAGAUAUUGGGAAGAACACCGGUGGCGAAGGCGGCUCACUGGCUCGUUUCUGACGCUCAGGCGCGAUAGCGUGGGGAUCAAACAGG